GGUGUUGCCAUGGCUGGCACGAGCCUGGACACCGGCGAUCGUCGCCCUUGGUACGAUGGCCUGACGAAGGCUCGAACUCGCGUGUCCCGCGACGAUGCGCAACAUCUUCUAGGCGAUGGUCCGACUUGACUCCUGGUGAAAAGACGGAAACAGGAGAAAGAUCUUCGACUCGUCUCUAGUGCUUAUUGCGUAAAAGGCAGGAAGAGCACGACUGCUGACGGUGGCGCUGUCUGACUGUUCCGUCUGUAUAUAUGCUUUUUUAAGAAAACUUAUUUUGGCUGCAAUAUAAAUACUCAAGAGAAAAAGGUAGCUGCCAAAGUUAUAACUCCUAUUUUCAAAACUUUCUUUUCUAAAGAUCUUGUUAUCUUGUCUAAAGACAAGUACAUUUUUAAAGAUUUUAAGUUUUACGACUGCUUGUUUGAUGCAAUGCAGAAUAAUGCAUAUAGUAAGAAGGGACAAACAGUGACAAAUGUUGAUUUACUGGGACUGAUUGGAACUGUUAUAAACAAUGCUGCUGAUUGGAAUCGAGGUCGUGACAGCAGAAAAAGAACUCGGGAUCAAGAUAGUGAUGGCAAUGACGUUUAAAAUAUUAAUAAUUAAAAUUUGACUAUUUUUUGUAUAUUUCAGUUACAUAUACGUUUUAAUGUAAUUUAUGUUCUAUAAAUUGCUCAUGACGUACUUAAUAAAUCAAUUAACAAAUAAAUAGUUUAACGUUUGUACAACA